GACACUAUGGCGGAGUGGUUAACGCGGUGCCCUGCUAUGUGGCGUUCAGUCGCUGCAAGUUCAGGCAUUUCCUUCGGGAGCGCAGGUUCGAAUCCUGCUGGUGUCG
rfam:Ajellomyces capsulatus G186AR genomic scaffold supercont2.10, whole genome shotgun sequence.